rnacentral:rRNA from 1 species
AACGAACGCUGGCGGCAUGCCUUACACAUGCAAGUCGAACGGCAGCACGGGAGCAAUCCUGGUGGCGAGUGGCGAACGGGUGAGUAAUAUAUCGGAACGUGCCCAGUCGUGGGGGAUAACGUAGCGAAAGCUACGCUAAUACCGCAUACGAUCUAUGGAUGAAAGCGGGGGAUCGCAAGACCUCGCGCGAUUGGAGCGGCCGAUAUCAGAUUAGGUAGUUGGUGGGGUAAAGGCUCACCAAGCCGACGAUCUGUAGCUGGUCUGAGAGGACGACCAGCCACACUGGGACUGAGACACGGCCCAGACUCCUACGGGAGGCAGCAGUGGGGAAUUUUGGACAAUGGGCGCAAGCCUGAUCCAGCAAUGCCGCGUGCAGGAUGAAGGCCUUCGGGUUGUAAACUGCUUUUGUACGGAGCGAAAAGGCUCUCUCUAAUACAGGGGGCCCAUGACGGUACCGUAAGAAUAAGCACCGGCUAACUACGUGCCAGCCGCCGCAGUAACAC